rnacentral:rRNA from 1 species
AUACGUAGGGGGCGAGCGUUGUCCGGAAUGAUUGGGCGUAAAGGGCGCGUAGGCGGCCCGGUAAGUCUGGAGUGUCAGUACUGUUUUUAAGAUGGGAAUUGCUUUGGAUACUGUCGGGCUUGAGUGCAGGAGAGGUAAGUGGAAUUCACAGUGUAGCGGUGAAUUGCGUAGAGAUUGGGAGGAACACCAGUGGCGAAGGCGACUUACUGGACUGUAACUGACGCUGAGGCGCGAAAGUGUGGGGAGCAAACAGGAUUAGAUACCCUGGUAGUCCACACUGUAAACGAUGAAUGCUAGGUGUAGGGGGUAUCGACCCCCUCUGUGCCGCAGUCAACACAAUAAGCAUUCCGCCUGGGGAGUACGGCCGCAAGGUUGAAACUCAAAUGAAUUGACGGGG